GACUAGGACGCAGAGGAAAGACCCACUUAACAAUUUUCAGCGCUAUACUGGGGGUUGGAAUAUUAAAAAUAAGCAUUACUGGGCUUCUGUUGCCUUUACAGCAGCUCCUUUCUUUGUCAUCGCUGGGGUUUGGUUCAUUGUCUUUGGAUUGUGUUUGAUGUUCAUUUGCCUAUGCUAUUGCUGUUGUCCAAGGGAGCCUUAUGGCUAUUCUCGAUUGGCUUAUGCUCUUUCUCUCAUUUUCCUUAUCCUCUUUAC
rnacentral:misc_RNA from 1 species